rnacentral:rRNA from 1 species
CCUACGGGGGGCAGCAGUGGGGAAUAUUGCACAAUGGGCGAAAGCCUGAUGCAGCGACGCCGCGUGAGGGAUGACGGCCUUCGGGUUGUAAACCUCUUUCAGCAGGGAAGAAGCGAAAGUGACGGUACCUGCAGAAGAAGCGCCGGCUAACUACGUGCCAGCAGCCGCGGUAAUACGUAGGGCGCAAGCGUUGUCCGGAAUUAUUGGGCGUAAAGAGCUCGUAGGCGGCUUGUUGCGUCGGUUGUGAAAGCCCGGGGCUUAACCCCGGGUCUGCAGUCGAUACGGGCAGGCUAGAGUGUGGUAGGGGAGAUCGGAAUUCCUGGUGUAGCGGUGAAAUGCGCAGAUAUCAGGAGGAACACCGGUGGCGAAGGCGGAUCUCUGGGCCAUUACUGACGCUGAGGAGCGAAAGCGUGGGGAGCGAACAGGAUUAGAUAUCCUGGUAGUCCACGCCGUAAACGUUGGGAACUAGGUGUUGGCGACAUUCCACGUCGUCGGUGCCGCAGCUAACGCAUUAAGUUCCCCGCCUGGGGAGUACGGCCGCAAGGCUAAACUUAAAGGAAUUGACGG